GCCUACGGGGGGCAGCAGUGGGGAAUAUUGGACAAUGGGGGGAACCCUGAUCCAGCGACGCCGCGUGAGUGAAGAAGUAUUUCGGUAUGUAAAGCUCUAUCAGCAGGGAAGAAAGGAAUGACGGUACCUGACUAAGAAGCCCCGGCUAACUACGUGCCAGCAGCCGCGGUAAUACGUAGGGGGCAAGCGUUAUCCGGAUUUACUGGGUGUAAAGGGAGCGUAGGCGGCUGUGUAAGCCAGAAGUGAAAGCCCGAGGCUCAACCACGGGACUGCUUUUGGAACUACAUGGCUUGAUUGCAGGAGAG
rnacentral:rRNA from 1 species